rnacentral:lncRNA from 1 species
UACCAGUUUGCAAUGCCCCGUGAAACGAGACUGAUGACUUGAGUCCACUCACUGAAUGAGACAUGAAUUGGCCUACAAUCCCUGGAUCCAGGUCUUUCUCAAUUCUCCACCAGAACAGUCAUGACCUGAACAUGGACAGUUGGUAAGUCCUUAUCUCCAGACUUGACUU